UUUUAACCUGUGUGCAUUUGAUGUCU
rnacentral:piRNA from 1 species